UACGUAGGUGGCAAGCGUUGUCCGGAUUUAUUGGGUUUAAAGGGCGCGUAGGUGGUCUUCUAAGUCAGUGGUGAAAUCUCUCGGCUUAACUGAGAAAUUGCCAUUGAUACUGGGAGACUUGAGUGUAGUUGCCGUUGGCGGAAUAUGACAUGUAGUGGUGAAAUACAUAGAGAUGUCAUAGAACACCGAUUGCGAAGGCAGCUAACGAAACUAUAACUGACACUGAGGCUCGAAAGUGCGGGGAUCAAACAGG
rnacentral:rRNA from 1 species